AAUGCCUACGGGAGGCAGCAGUAGGGAAUCUUCCACAAUGGACGAAAGUCUGAUGGAGCAACGCCGCGUGAGUGAAGAAGGGUUUCGGCUCGUAAAGCUCUGUUGGUAGUGAAGAAAGAUAGAGGUAGGAACUGGCCUUUAUUUGACGGUAAUUACUUAGAAAGUCACGGCUAACUACGUGCCAGCAGCCGCGGGAAUAAGUAGGUGGCAAGCGUUGUCCGGAUUUUUUGGGCGUAA
rnacentral:rRNA from 1 species